rnacentral:sRNA from 1 species
GAAAAAGAUGUAGAAACAAAGGAAAGUUGUUUAUCUUCUUUGUCAUGUGCUUGCAGCUUAUCUCUUUGGCAGUAGAUUCCCUAACAGUGUAAGAGAUGCAGUUGCAGAGUGCUUUGGGAGCAGACAUGCAUUGUGCAGGAUGACUACAUGGAGGCUUUAACAAGACUUCACAUUACUGUUUCUAAAGCCUACAAAGUUAACCCAGACAUGAAUUUUGAGGUUUUUAUUCACAAAGUUGAUGGUCUGUCUGAUGAUCACAAAAUAGAAACACAGAGGGACAUUCAUCAAAGGGCCAAUGAUGACCUUGCAGAUGCUGGGCUAGAAAAACUCCAUCUUAGCUUUUAUCUGACUAGUAUCUAUGACCAUUCAAUAUUUGAAGCCUUUAGUAAGGUGGUGCAGAAACUCAUUCCACAGCUGCCGACCUUGGAAAACCUAUUAAAUAUCUUUAUAUCAAAUUCAGGUAUUGAAAAAGCUUUUCUCUUUGAUGUUGUCAGCAAAAUCUACAUUGCAACAGACAGUUCCCCUGUGGAUAUGCAAUCUUAUGAACUUUGCUGUGACAUGAUCGAUGUUGUAAUUGAUGUGUCUUGUAUAUAUGGGUUAAAGGAAGAUGGAAGUGGAAGUGCUUAUGACAAAGAAUCUAUGGCAAUUAUCAAGCUGAAUAAUACAACUGUCCUUUAUUUAAAGGAGGUGACUAAAUUUUUGGCACUGGUCUGCAUUCUAAGGGAAGAAAGCUUUGAACGAAAAG